rnacentral:rRNA from 1 species
GCUCAGUAACACGUGUAUAACCUGGCCUUGGUAUCUGGCAUAACCCCGGGAAACUGGGGAUAAUUCCGGAUAACGCAUAUAUGCUGGAAUGCUUUAUGCGUAAAAUGGAUUCGUCCGCCCAAGGAUGGGUCUGCGGCCUAUCAGGUAGUAGUGGGUGUAAUGUACCUACUAGCCUACAACGGGUACGGGUUGUGAGAGCAAGAGCCCGGAGAUGGAUUCUGAGACAUGAAUCCAGGCCCUACGGGGCGCAGCAGGCGCGAAAACUUUACAAUGCGGGAAACCGUGAUAAGGGGACACCGAGUGCUAGCAUCAUAUGCUGGCUGUCCAGGUGUGUAAACUACACCUGUUAGCAAGGGCCGGGCAAGACCGGUGCCAGCCGCCGCGGUAACACCGGCGGCCCGAGUGGUGAUCGUGAUUAUUGGGUCUAAAGGGUCCGUAGCCGGUUUGGUCAGUCCUCCGGGAAAUCUGAUAGCUCAACUAUUAGGCUUUCGGGGGAUACUGCCAGACUUGGAACCGGGAGAGGUAAGAGGUACUACAGGGGUAGGAGUGAAAUCUUGUAAUCCCUGUGGGACCACCUGUGGCGAAGGCGUCUUACCAGAACGGGUUCGACGGUGAGGGACGAAAGCUGGGGGCACGAACCGGAUUAGAUACCCGGGUAGUCCCAGCCGUAAACGAUGCUCGCUAGGUGUCAGGCAUGGCGCGACCGUGUCUGGUGCCGCAGGAAGCCGUGAAGCGAGCCACCUGGGAAGUACGGCCGCAAGG